UACGGAGGGUGCAAGCGUUAUCCGGAUUUACUGGGUUUAAAGGGUGCGUAGGUGGGUCUGUAAGUCAGUGGUGAAAUCUUCAAGCUUAACUUGGAAACUGCCAUUGAUACUAUAGGUCUUGAAUUAUCUGGAGGUGAGCGGAAUAUGUCAUGUAGCGGUGAAAUGCUUAGAUAUGACAUAGAACACCAAUUGCGAAGGCAGCUCACUACGGAUGUAUUGACACUGAGGCACGAAAGCGUGGGGAGCGAACAGG
rnacentral:rRNA from 1 species